AGUGAACGCUGGCGGUAGGCCUAACACAUGCAAGUCGAACGGCAGCACAGAGGAGCUUGCUCCUUGGGUGGCGAGUGGCGGACGGGUGAGGAAUACAUCGGAAUCUACUCUGUCGUGGGGGAUAACGUAGGGAAACUUACGCUAAUACCGCAUACGACCUACGGGUGAAAGCAGGGGACCUUCGGGCCUUGCGCGAUUGCAUGAGCCGAUGUCGGAUGAGCUAGUUGGCGGGGUAAAGGCCCACCAAGGCGACGAUCCGUAGCUGGUCUGAGAGGAUGAUCAGCCACACUGGAACUGAGACACGGUCCAGACUCCUACGGGAGGCAGCAGUGGGGAAUAUUGGACAAUGGGCGCAAGCCUGAUCCAGCCAUACCGCGUGGGUGAAGAAGGCCUUCGGGUUGUAAAGCCCUUUUGAUGGGAAAGAAAUCCAGCUGGCUAAUACCCGGUUGGGAUGACGGUACCCAAAGAAUAAGCACCGGCUAACUUCGUGCCAGCCGCCGCUGUAA
rnacentral:rRNA from 1 species